UACGUGAGGGGCGAACGUUGUUCGGUGUCACUGGGCUUAAAGGGUGCGUAGGUGGUUGCGUAAGUAACGUGUGAAAGCCCUCGGCUUACCCGGGGAAUUGCGCGUUAUACUGCGUGACUUGAGGAUUUCAGGGGAAUGGGGAACUCCAGGUGUAGCGGUGAAAUGCGUAGAUAUCUGGAGGAACACCGGUGGCGAAGGCGGCAUCCUGGACCGACACUGACGCUGAGGAGCGAAAGCCAGGGGAGCAAACGGG
rnacentral:rRNA from 1 species